rnacentral:rRNA from 1 species
UACGGGGGAGCAAGCGUUGUCCGGAUUUACUGGGCGUAAAGAGCGCGCAGGCGGUCGUUCAAGUCGCGUGUGAAAACCCCCGGCUCAACUGGGGAGGGUCACGCGAUACUGAUCGACUCGAAGGCAGGAGAGGGUAGUGGAAUUCCCGGUGUAGUGGUGAAAUGACGUAGAUAUCGGAGGAACACCAGUGGCGAAGGCGACUACCUGGCCUGUUCUUGACGCUGAGGCGCGAAAGCUAGGGGAGCAAACGGGG